AACGCAGAUCAGAGGUAGUCGGACCUUUCCCGCUGGCGCGCAGCCUCAGCUAGGGCACACAGAGUGAACAGAAAAAGAGGAUACCUCUGCGAUCCCGGGUCAUCUCCAGAUGCUAGGGUUAUGGGUGAGAGGCGUCUUCCCAAGACCAGACACUGCCGGUGCCCUAUCACCUCCCACUUUUUUUCUGGAACUGCUAGGGGCCCAGCGCUGCUUCUGCAGCCUUCCAGGGGAUGCUGCUGGUGGCGCGUAUGCCGCCUAGGUGGGUGGGGAUGUGCUGAGGCCGAAGGAGUGACAGCGACUCGCAGGUUU
rnacentral:sRNA from 1 species